AACGUACGCUGGCGGCACGCCUAACACAUGCAAGUCGAACGAAGUAGCAAUACUUAGUGGCAGACGGGUGAGUAACAUGUAGGUAUCUGCCCUUUGGCCUGGAAUAACACGAGGAAACUUGUGCCAAUACCGGAUAAGUCUUUACGGAGAAAGCUUUAUGCACCAUUGGAUGAGCCUGCACUUGAUUAGUUUGUUGGUGGGGUAAUGGCCUACCAAGACUGUGAUCAAUAGCUGAUUUGAGAGGAUGAUCAGCCACAUUGGGACUGAGACACGGCCCAAACUCCUACGGGAGGCAGCAGUGGGGAAUCUUGCACAAUGGAGGAAACUCUGAUGCAGCGAUGCCGCGUGAGUGAAGAAGGCCCUUGGGUUGUAAAGCUCUUUCGUCGGGGAAGAAAAUGACUGUACCCGAAUAAGAAGGUCCGGCUAACUUCGUGCCAGCAGCCGCGGUAAUACGAAGGGACCUAGCGUAGUUCGGAAUUACUGGGCUUAAAGAGUUCGUAGGUGGUUGAAAAAGUUAGUGGUGAAAUCCCAGAGCUUAACUCUGGAACUGCCAUUAAAACUUUUCAGCUAGAGUAUGAUAGAGGAAAGCAGAAUUUCUAGUGUAGAGGUGAAAUUCGUAGAUAUUAGAAAGAAUACCAAUUGCGAAGGCAGCUUUCUGGAUCAUUACUGACACUGAGGAACGAAAGCAUGGGUAGCGAAGAGGAUUAGAUACCCUCGUAGUCCAUGCCGUAAACGAUGUGUGUUAGACGUUGGAAAUUUAUUUUCAGUGUCGCAGGGAAACCGAUAAACACACCGCCUGGGGAGUACGACCGCAAGGUUAAAACUCAAAUGAAUUGACGGGGACCCGCACAAGUAGUGGAGCAUGUGGUUUAAUUCGAAGAUACGCGCAGAACCUUACCAACACUUGACAUGUUCGUCGCGACUCUAAGAGAUUAGAGUUUUCGGUUCGGCCGGACGAAACACAGGUGCUGCAUGGCUGUCGUCAGCUCGUGUCGUGAGAUGUUGGGUUAAGUCCCGCAACGAGCGCAACCCUCACUUUUAGUUGCCAUCAUUAAGUUGGGCACUCUGAAAGAACUGCCAGUGAUAAGCUGGAGGAAGGUGGGGAUGACGUCAAGUCCUCAUGGCCCUUACGUGUUGGGCUACACACGUGCUACAAUGGUAUCUACAACUGGAAGCAAGACUGCGAAGUUAAGCAAAUCCCUAAAAGAUACCUCAGUUCGGAUUGCACUCUGCAACUCGAGUGCAUGAAGCUGGAAUUACUAGUAAUCGUGGAUCAGCGUGCCACGGUGAAUGCGUUCCCGGGUCU
rnacentral:rRNA from 1 species